rnacentral:rRNA from 1 species
GUUGAUAAGGUUAAGUGAAUAAGGGCGCACGGUGGAUGCCUUGGCACUAGGAGCCGAUGAAGGACGGGACUAACACCGAUAUGUUUUGGGGAGCUGUACGUAAG